rnacentral:lncRNA from 1 species
AUACUUGAAAUCAGGCAAGUGGGCAAGGAAAGAAAAUAGUCCAGUAUCAAUCAGAAACCAAUCAGUGGAAGAAGAUUCCUUUAAUUAAGGAGUCCAAAAUUUGAACAGAAAAAGGAAAAAAUCCAUUUAAGGAAAUGGAAUCAAAUAAACACAUUGUGGACAUGUAAAUAAGGGUAAGUACAUGGGAUCUUUAUUAAGGAAAGGGAAUUCCGAAGUACAUGGUAAAUUAAAUAAGAAGUGAAUCAAUUAGUACAUAGUAAAAUCAGGUAAUUAGGGAUUAUCAAAUCACCAAUGAACCUAGUCAGACAAUAGGGGAUCGAGGGGUUCAAAGCUAAACAAUGCUAGAAAUCAACCGAAUUCACAUAAGGCAGUCUAAAAUCCAUUCCUAAAUCAAAGGUUAUUUUGAGAGGGCAAAUCUUACUAUAAAAAGGCCAUGAGUUUUUAAAACAUGCUAGGCUGGAUUCAAACAAUAGAAAAGUAUCAUGCAACCAAGGAUCAGGGAGUAGAGGGCUAGAGCUAAAAGAAAAAUAUUAGAGAGCAUUCAAAAGGUCAGGCAACAGGCUCCAUAAAGUUUAGCAUAAGUCAAAAUCACAUGGAGAAACAUAGAUGAAACAACUUCAUGAACUCAUAAAUUAGGGUUUUCGAAACCAAACUAGUUCAGAGAAGAGAAGCAAACAAAUCACAUACAAGUAAUCUGAAAAAACCCCAAAUUCUAGGGUUUCUUCCAUUAAUCACGUGUUAAAACGAAAGCACACAAAUCAGGCAAAGUAAACUCAAAAAAUCCAAAGGAAAAUGUUUCUUGGAAACAUAAAUGAGAGAAAACACAGUAAAAGAAAUCACAGGAAAUCUUAGGAGGAAACACAGUAAAAGGAAAACACACAGAAAUCACGGUAAAACACCCAGGAGUUAUAGCAGAGCAAAUACAAUGAGAACAUCACAAAAAGACACAGUAGAACAAGUAAA